UAUGAGAAAUUAAAACUGGAGAAAGAGGGCUUUCCUCCUUGAAGGAAGGGUGUUGGGUGAACUAACACUAUUUUCUCCUGCCCUUUCCCCCAAUCUCAAUCCCUUUCUCUCCAAACAUUCUUCCUUGAGCACCCCACUCUGGCACUCAAAAAGCCAUGGGAAUGGGAAAGAAGUGGCUGGAAGUAAACAGCCUGCUUACUCACAGCAACUGAAAAUUUUGUUUCGACGAUUCUGGUUCCAGGGGCAGGAGCUGAAGAUUAAUGCCUGGAGUCUGCCCCAUUCUGAGAGCAGCAGCCUGGCUCCUGGUGGCUCCAGCAGCAGCUCCUCACAUCUCCUAGUUCUGGUGAAAUAUGCUGCCAUGGGGGAAAUGACAAAGCAGAGGAAGAAAUCAGCAGCAAUAUCAGUAACAGCACCCAGAAUUUGCUGAGCGCCAGCUAUGUGCCAGCCUUCAUAUCUGUUUUUUUCUUAUGAAGCUUCUUCUGGUUGGAAACUUGUCAAAUUUCAUCAGCUAUGAAACCCACGUAGUCGAACACCGUGAUGCUUCUCCUGCAGGGCGUGUGAUG
rnacentral:lncRNA from 1 species